GCAUGUUUGGAAAAAUAAAAAUAACAAUAAAAUAAAAAAAGGAUGAAAUUACAUGAAGUACUAGAAAGGUGCCCUUCUAUUCAGCUCCAUUCAAGCACCCGUAGUUUCCUACUUUUCCACCUUGGGGGAUUAUAGAAUGGACCUUUCAAGGAAAGUAAUUAUCCAGAUAGACACGACAUACAUUUAGAAUCAAAUUGCCAUGGUACUGAUUUAGCGGCCAUAGGGGUGGUCACGGUUCAGGAAUCACCGGUUUAGAUUCAAUGAAAUCAUGAACCUCAACCUGAAUCUGAACCAAACCGCCAGGGAACGGUUUGGAAGACGGUUCCUGAAC
rnacentral:misc_RNA from 1 species